rnacentral:snRNA from 1 species
AUUCUUCAUUUCUAGGUGGUUUCCCGGGGCGAGGCUCACCCAUUGCACUCCGGAUGUGCUGACCCCUGCGAUUUCCCCAAAUGUGGGAAACCCAACUGUGUAAUUUGUGGUAGUGAGGGAGUGCGUUCGUGCUCUUCCAUG